rnacentral:rRNA from 1 species
UCAGUUCAGAUUGCAGGCUGCAACUCGCCUGCAUGAAGUCGGAAUUGCUAGUAAUCGCGGAUCAGCAUGCCGCGGUGAAUACGUUCCCGGGCCUUGUACACACCGCCCGUCACACCAUGGGAGCCGGUAAUACCCGAAGUCAGUAGUCCAACCUCGUGAGGACGCUGCCGAAGGUAGGAUUGGCGACUGGGGUGAAGUCGUAACAAGGUACC